AUUGAACGCUGGCGGCAUGCUUUACACAUGCAAGUCGAACGGUAACAGGGUGCUUGCACCGCUGACGAGUGGCGAACGGGUGAGUAAUGCGUCGGAACGUGCCGAGUAGUGGGGGAUGACGCAGCGAAAGUUGUGCUAAUGCCGCAUACGUACUGAGGUAGAAAGUGGGGGACCUUCGGGCCUCACGCUAUUCGAGCGGCCGACGUCUGAUUAGCUAGUAGGUGAGGUGAAGGCUCACCUAGGCGACGAUCAGUAGCGGGUCUGAGAGGAUGAUCCGCCACACUGGGACUGAGACACGGCCCAGACUCCUACGGGAGGCAGCAGUGGGGAAUUUUGGACAAUGGGCGAAAGCCUGAUCCAGCCAUGCCGCGUGUCUGAAGAAGGCCCUCGGGUUGUAAAGGACUUUUGUCAGGGAGGAAAUCCCUAGUGCUAAUAACACUGGGGGAUGACAGUACCUGAAGAAUAAGCACCGGCUAACUACGUGCCAGCCGCCGCCGUAA
rnacentral:rRNA from 1 species